UCCAUUUUCUUUGUCAUUUAUGUUCGGGUUCCGCCAUUGUGCGGCUUUUGCUUUGAUUUUUAAAUAAUAAUAAUAAAAGCUGUUUUAUUUCUAGAAAUGCACCGAUAAACACGUAGUUCGUGUUUCAUUGCUAUAGUGCAAAUUAGUUUACAGAAUUCGAGUCAGGUUUUACGAAAUAGAACAUGUCUCGUUACAAUUCUGAUUGUAAGGUGUAUGUGGGCGACUUGGGCAACAGUGCAUCCAAGCAGGACAUCGAGGAUUCUUUUAGGUAUUAUGGCCCCCUGAGGAAUGUUUGGGUGGCCCGGAAUCCACCCGGCUUUGCCUUUGUGGAGUUCGAAGAUCCAAGAGAUGCAGAAGAUGCUGUGAGAGGCUUAGAUGGAAGAACAAUCUGUGGUCGUAGAGCCCGGGUAGAAAUGUCCAAUGCCAAAAGUGGUGGUGGACGUUACCGUGGUCCACCCCCAAGGUCUCGUGGGCGUCCUUUCCAUCCAGAUGAUCGUUGCUACGAGUGUGGUGACCGAGGUCAUUAUGCAAGAGACUGCAGUAGAUAUAGAAGAGGCGGUGGUAGUCGCCGAGAUAGGUCAAUAGCAUGUGGUCGAUAGUCAGGUAACGAACGCUAUGAGUAUGCUCUUGAUCUUCUCGUGUGUCUGUAAGACUCUCGUCACUCGCAGAGCUGCGUAGAAUCGUCGAGCAGUAGAGUGACGUCGGCACGCUUCUGUUCAGAGUCAGCUUUCGACACGACUGCUUAAACCAAAAAAGUACAAGAUUGACUCCUAGUCUACUACUACUACUACUACAAGUGAGCCAGUGAGCUUUAGCCCGGUUGACCCUCAGAUCACCCUUCUACCUAGUCGAAUUACUACUAUCUUCACAUGACCAUGUCUCACAAGCUCACUGUUUGAAAUGGUCUCGCAGUCGUUCUAGGAGCCGAUCCAGGGAUCGUAGGAGCCGUUCCAGGAGCAAUUCGAGAUCGCGCAGUCGUUCCCGGUCGCGCCGCUCCCGUUCCGCGUCGGCCAAGAAGAGCCGCAGCCGCUC